rnacentral:rRNA from 1 species
UACGAAGGGGGCUAGCGUUGCUCGGAAUCACUGGGCGUAAAGGGCGCGUAGGCGGCUUUGUAAGUUAGAGGUGAAAGCCCGGGGCUCAACCCCGGAACUGCCUUUAAAACUGCAUCGCUUGAAUCCAGGAGAGGUGAGUGGAAUUCCGAGUGUAGAGGUGAAAUUCGUAGAUAUUCGGAAGAACACCAGUGGCGAAGGCGGCUCACUGGACUGGUAUUGACGCUGAGGUGCGAAAGCGUGGGGAGCAAACAGG